CCCCAUGGCAGGAGAAAAAAGUCCAUUUUUUCUUUACCCCUAAGGUAAAAAUACACAUUGUUGAGUGUCACGCCUGUAUGCUUUGUCAUAUUGACACAAAAUUUGACAAUCAUGUGUAUCUCAAUAAGAUCUACGAAAAAGUCAAUGCGCACGUAUCUGUAAAAUGUACGGUUAAAGGGCUAUUUCGCAUUUUUUGCCGAUUCGCACACAUUGGAAUGUGGCUAACUCCUCCUAAGGCUUUCGUCCCACCGACACCAAAUUUGCUCAGGCCAAUCUACACCCCAUGGCCAUUCAAAGUUGUACAAAUCAUGAUGCUGCACCCCACGGUUUACGUUCUAGGGGGCGCCAAAGAUGACCCAAAUAUCCACAUGUUUAAAAGUCUUCUAACUUUUUAUUUUUGUCCUCACUGGCCUCCAAGUUUUCUAGGAUGAUUCAAUGUCCAGCCAUCAACACAUUUGUGAAGGAAUUUUUCUCCCUAAAAGAUGAGUGUGUCAUUGUGUUAGAAAAGAAAGUGGUUUACUUACACAUCCAUAGAAAAUAGGUGGUUGAGCACAUUACGCAAACAAAGCUUUGCCACGACGGUGGAACUUCCCAAGUAGCCGAUACCAAGGUCACACAAUCAUGGUGAGCAAAGGUCAAACAAGGCCAGGCACUCAUGAGGCUGGCUGUGGCAAGUGUAAGUGAAAGCAACACGCAAUGGCAGGAAGAACAGCAAACGCCGAUGAAGGAAAAGGGUCUUUGCAGUGAUGGGCGUUACAAGAGAGGGCGAUGGCCAGAGGACGCGAAUGGGACGGGGAGGCGAUCGCGUUGGGGGGGGGGUGCGCGACACGGCUCGGGCCCGCCAGUGCCCCAACGGGGCCCUAGUCUUUCUUUCUUUCUUUCUUUUUCUUAUUUUUCCUCCCCUUUGAAGGGGAAAAUGGCCCACUUCCCACUGGCGAAAACUCAUGAAAUUUGGCAGGACGACCGGGCCUGGUAAAAAAUUCGAUAUUCUGAAGUCGCUGAAAAAAUUAUUUGCAAAAUGGGUAUUACCUUCAGGAAGCCCAAACACCCCAAAUAUUUUUUUUUUCAUUUUACAUUUUUUUUGUAUGUAACCAACUCCAAAAGGUCUGAAACAUGUUCCUAAAAAGGUUUUGGACAGUGAUUUUAACCCUAACGCCAAAAACCUCAAACCUUACCCUAGCCCCAAAACCUAAUAUUAGGGUAUUACCUCCAGGAAGCCUGAAAACCCCAAAUAUUUUUUUUUCAUUUCUCUUUUUUUUGGGUCUAACUGACUCCAAAAGUUUAGAAACAGUUCCUACAAAGGUUUUGGACAGUGAUUUUAACCGUAACGCCAAAAACCUUAAACCUUACCAUAGCCCCAUAACCUGACACCCGGGUAUUACCUUCAGGAAGCCCGAACACCCCAAAUAUUUUUUUUUAAUUUUACAUUUUUUUUUCGGUGUACAAACUCCAAAAGGUCUGAAACGUGUUCCUAAAAAGGUUUUGGACAGUGAUUUUAACCCUAAUGCCAAAAACCUCAAACCUUACCCUAGCCCCAAAACCUAAUACCCGGGUAUUACCUUCAGGAAGCCCAAACACCCCAAAUAUUUUUUUUUCUUUUUUCUUUUUACAUUUUUUUUUUGGUGUACAAACUCCAAAAGGUCUGAAAGGUGUUCCUACAAAGGUUUUGGAAAGUUAUUUUCACCCUAAUGCCAAAAACCUUAAACCUUACCCUAGCACCAAAACCUAAUACCCGGGUAUUACCUUCAGGAAGCCCGAACACCCCAAAUAUUUUUUUUUCUUUUUUCUUUUUUUUUUUUUGGUCAACCUAACUCCAAAAGGUUGGAAAAGAGUUCCUACAAAGGUUUUUGGACAGUGAUUUUAACCCUAACGCCAAAAACCUUAAACAUUUCCUAAGCCCCAUAACCUAAUACCCGGGUAUUACCUUCAGGAAGCCUGAACACCCCAAAUAUUUUUUAUUUCAUUUUUCAUUUUUUUUUGGUCUAACGAACUCCAUAAGGUUGGAAAAGAGUUCCUACAAAGGUUUUGGAAAGUUAUUUUCACCCUAACGUCAAAAACCUUAAACCUUACCAUAGCCCCAUAACCUAAUACCCGGGUAUUACCUUCAGGAAGCCCGAACACCCCAAAUAUUUUUUUUUUCAUUUUACAUUUUUUUUGUAUGUAACCAACUCCAAAAGGUCUGAAACAUGUUCCUAAAAAGGUUUUGGACAGUGAUUUUAACCCUAACGCCAAAAACCUCAAACCUUACCCUAGCCCCAAAACCUAAUAUUAGGGUAUUACCUCCAGGAAGCCUGAAAACCCCAAAUAUUUUUUUUUCAUUUCUCUUUUUUUUGGGUCUAACUGACUCCAAAAGUUUAGAAACAGUUCCUACAAAGGUUUUGGACAGUGAUUUUAACCGUAACGCCAAAAACCUUAAACCUUACCAUAGCCCCAUAACCUGAUACCCGGGUAUUACCUUCAGGAAGCCCGAACACCCCAAAUAUUUUUUUUUAAUUUUACAUUUUUUUUUCGGUGUACAAACUCCAAAAGGUCUGAAACGUGUUCCUAAAAAGGUUUUGGACAGUGAUUUUAACCCUAAUGCCAAAAACCUCAAACCUUACCCUAGCCCCAAAACCUAAUACCCGGGUAUUACCUUCAGGAAGCCCGAACACCCCAAAUAUUUUUUUUUCUUUUUUCUUUUUACAUUUUUUUUUUGGUGUACAAACUCCAAAAGGUCUGAAAGGUGUUCCUAAAAAGGUUUUGGACAGUGAUUUUAACCCUAACGCCAAAAACCUUAAACCUUACCAUAGCCCCAUAACCUGAUACCCGGGUAUUACCUUCAGGAAGCCCGAACACCCCAAAUAUUUUUUUUUAAUUUUACAUUUUUUUUUCGGUGUACAAACUCCAAAAGGUCUGAAACGUGUUCCUAAAAGGUUUUGGACAGUGAUUUUAACCCUAAUGCCAAAAACCUCAAACCUUACCCUAGCCCCAAAACCUAAUACCCGGGUAUUACCUUCAGGAAGCCCGAACACCCCAAAUAUUUUUUUUUCUUUUUUCUUUUUUUUUUUGGUCUAACUAACUCCAAAAGGUUGGAAAAGAGUUCCUACAAAGGUUUUUGGACAGUGAUUUUAACCCUGAUGCCAAAAACCCUAAAACUUUCCAAAGCCCCAUAACCUAAUACCCGGGUAUUACCUUCAGGAAGCCUGAACACCCCAAAUAUUUUUUAUUUCAUUUUUCAUUGUUUUUUGGUCUAACUGACUCCAAAAGUUUGGAAAAGAGUUCCUACAAAGGUUUUGGACAGUGAUUUUAACCCUAACGCCAAAAACCUUAAACCUUACCAUAGCCCCAUAACCUGAUACCCGGGUAUUACCUUCAGGAAGCCCGAACACCCCAAAUACAUUUUUUUUCUUUUUUCUUUUUUUUUUUGGUCAACCUAACUCCAAAAGGUUGGAAAAGAGUUCCUACAAAGGUUUUUGGACAGUGAUUUUAACCCUAACGCCAAAAACCUUAAACAUUUCCUAAGCCCCAUAACCUAAUACCCGGGUAUUACCUUCAGGAAGCCUGAACACCCCAAAUAUUUUUUAUUUCAUUUUUCAUUUUUUUUUGGUCUAACUGACUCCGUGUUUGGACAAGAGUUCCUACAAAGGUUUUGGACAGUGAUUUUAACCCUAACGCCAAAAACCUUAAACCUUACCAUAGCCCCAUAACCUGAUACCCGGGUAUUACCUUCAGGAAGCCCGAACACCACAAAUAUUUUUUUUUCAUUUUACAUUUUUUUUUUGGUGUACAAACUCCAAAAGGUCUGAAAGGUGUUCCUAAAAAGGUUUUGGACAGUGAUUUUAACCCUAACGUCAAAAACCUUAAACCUUACCAUAGACCAAUAACCUAAUACCCGGGUAUUACCUUCAGGAAACCCGAACACCCCAAUAUUUUUUUUUUCAUUUUACAUUUUUUUUGUAUGUAACCAACUCCAAAAGGUCUGAAACAUGUUCCUAAAAAGGUUUUGAACAGUGAUUUUAACCCUAACGCCAAAAACCUCAAACCUUACCCUAGCCCCAAAACCUAAUAUUAGGGUAUUACCUCCAGGAAGCCUGAAAACCCCAAAUAUUUUUUUUUCAUUUCUCUUUUUUUUGGGUCUAACUGACUCCAAAAGUUUAGAAACAGUUCCUACAAAGGUUUUGGACAGUGAUUUUAACCCUAACGCCAAAAACCUUAAACCUUACCAUAGCCCCAUAACCUGAUACCCGGGUAUUACCUUCAGGAAGCCCGAACACCCCAAAUAUUUUUUUUUAAUUUUACAUUUUUUUUUCGGUGUACAAACUCCAAAAGGUCUGAAACGUGUUCCUAAAAAGGUUUUGGACAGUGAUUUUAACCCUAAUGCCAAAAACCUCAAACCUUACCCUAGCCCCAAAACCUAAUACCCGGGUAUUACCUUCAGGAAGCCCGAACACCCCAAAUAUUUUUUUUUCUUUUUUCUUUUUACAUUUUUUUUUUGGUCAACCUAACUCCAAAAGGUUGGAAAAGAGUUCCUACAAAGGUUUUGGACAGUGAUUUUCACCCUAACGUCAAAAACCUUAAACCUUACCAUAGCCCAAAAACCUAAUACCCGGGUAUUACCUUCAGGAAGCCCGAACACCCCAAAUAUUUUUUUUUCAUUUUACAUUUUUUUUGUAUGUAACCAACUCCAAAAGGUCUGAAACAUGUUCCUAAAAAGGUUUUGGACAGUGAUUUUAACCCUAACGCCAAAAACCUCAAACCUUACCCUAGCCCCAAAACCUAAUAUUAGGGUAUUACCUCCAGGAAGCCUGAAAACCCCAAAUAUUUUUUUUUCAUUUCUCUUUUUUUUGGGUCUAACUGACUCCAAAAGUUUAGAAACAGUUCCUACAAAGGUUUUGGACAGUGAUUUUAACCGUAACGCCAAAAACCUUAAACCUUACCAUAGCCCCAUAACCUGAUACCCGGGUAUUACCUUCAGGAAGCCCGAACACCCCAAAUAUUUUUUUUUCAUUUUUCUUUUUUUUUUUGGUCUAACGAACUCCAUAAGGUUGGAAAAGAGUUCCUACAAAGGUUUUGGACAGUGAUUUUCACCCUAACGUCAAAAACCUUAAACCUUACCAUAGCCCAAUAACCUAAUACCCGGGUAUUACCUUCAGGAAGCCCGAACACCCCAAUAUUUUUUUUUUUUCAUUUUACAUUUUUUUUGUAUGUAACCAACUCCAAAAGGUCUGAAACAUGUUCCUAAAAAGGUUUUGGACAGUGAUUUUAACCCUAACGCCAAAAACCUCAAACCUUACCCUAGCCCCAAAACCUAAUACCGGGUAUUACCUUCAGGAAGCCUGAACACCCCAAAUAUUUUUUUUUCAUUUUUCUUUUUUUUGGUCUAACUGACUCCAAAAGUUUGAAACAGUUCCUACAAAGGUUUUGGACAGUGAUUUUAACCCUAACGCCAAAAACCUUAAACCUUACCAUAGCCCCAUAACCUGAUACCCGGGUAUUACCUUCAGGAAGCCCGAACACCCCAAAUAUUUUUUUUUAAUUUUACAUUUUUUUUUCGGUGUACAAACUCCAAAAGGUCUGAAACGUGUUCCUAAAAAGGUUUUGGACAGUGAUUUUAACCCUAAUGCCAAA